CAGUCGCCACGGUAAUACGAGGGGUGCAAGCGUUAUUCGGAUUGAUUGGGUGUAAAGGGUGUGCAGACGGCUUAUUAAGUCACUUGUUAAAUUCUUCGGCCUAACUGAAGGUUUGCAAGUGAUACUGAUGAGCUAGAGGGUGGAAGAGAGAAGUGGAAUUCUCGGAGUAGCGGUAAAAUGCGUAGAUCUCGAGUGGAACACCAAUGGCGAAGGCAGCGUCUUGGUCCAUUCCUGACGUUCAUACACGAAAGCGUGGGGAGCAAACAGGAUUAGAUACCCGCGUAGUCCCUGUCUCUUAUAC
rnacentral:rRNA from 1 species